rnacentral:rRNA from 1 species
CUCGCUAGGCUGUCAGCUAAGUGGCGCACGGGUGAGUAAUGUAUAGUUGAUCUGCCCCUUGGAGGGGGAUAGCCAUUGGAAACGAUGAUUAAUACCCCAUACUCCUAUAUGCGUAAGGUAUAUAGGGAAAUGUCUUUUCGCCAAGGGAUGAGACUAUAUGGCAUCAGGUAGUUGGUAGGGUAAUGGCCUACCAAGCCAAUGACGCCUAGCUGGUCUGAGAGGAUGAUCAGCCACACUGGUACUGAGACACGGACCAGACUCCUACGGGAGGCAGCAGUGGGGAAUAUUGCACAAUGGAGGAAACUCUGAUGCAGCAACGCCGCGUGGAGGAUGACGCAUUUCGGUGUGUAAACUCCUUUUAACUAGGAAGAUAAUGACGGUACUAGUUGAAUAAGCACCGGCUAACUCCGUGC